UACGUAGGGGGCUAGCGUUGUCCGGAAUCAUUGGGCGUAAAGAGCGUGUAGGCGGCCCGGUAAGUCCGCUGUGAAAGUCGGGGGCUCAACCCUCGAAUGCCGGUGGAUACUGUCGGGCUAGAGUGCGGAAGAGGCGAGUGGAAUUCCUGGUGUAGCGGUGAAAUGCGCAGAUAUCAGGAGGAACACCGAUUGCGAAGGCAGCUCGCUGGGACGUCACUGACGCUGAGACGCGAAAGCGUGGGGGAGCAAACAGG
rnacentral:rRNA from 1 species